rnacentral:rRNA from 1 species
UUUGGUGGCUAUUGCACAGGGGCCCACCUCUUCCCAUUCCGAACAGAGAAGUUAAGCCCUGUUGCGCCGAUGGUACUGGUCACAAUCCGGGAGAGUAGGUCGCCGCCUUUU